rnacentral:rRNA from 1 species
AUUGAACGCUGGCGGCAUGCUUUACACAUGCAAGUCGAACGGCAGCACGGGUGCUUGCACCUGGUGGCGAGUGGCGAACGGGUGAGUAACAUAUCGGAACGUAUCCAAUAAUGGGGGAUAACUAAUCGAAAGGUUGGCUAAUACCGCAUACGCCCUACGGGGGAAAGCUAGGGACCUUCGGGCCUGGCGUUAAUGGAGCGGCUGAUAUCUGAUUAGCUAGUUGGUGGGGUAAUGGCCUACCAAGGCGACGAUCAGUAGUCGGUCUGGCAGGACGACCGGCCACACGGGAACUGAGACACGGUCCAGACUCAUACGGGGGGCAGCAGUAGGGAAUUUUGGACAAUGGGCGCAAGCCUGAUCCAGCCAUUCCGCGUGAGUGAAGAAGGCCUUCGGGUUGUAAAGCUCUUUCGCAAGGGAAGAAAACUUAUCCUCUAACAUAGGAUGAGGUUGACGGUACCUUGAUAAGAAGCACCGGCUAACUACGUGCCAGCCGCCGCUGUAAAGC